CUGGCAGUAAUAGAAACUGAAGUCCUCUUUUUGUAUCCACAGGAUAGCUACAGUUAGGCCACUCCAGUGUGAGCCUCUCCAUGCUGCCCCAUCAAUGACCUGGAGGGACUUUCUUCCCUCUCUUAGAGAAGAUGUCCCGUCUCCAUAGCAGCUCAGUUCUGGUCCUCU
rnacentral:sRNA from 1 species